GACGAACGCUGGCGGCAUGCCUAAUACAUGCAAGUCGAACGCGGAAGCCCUCUGUUUGCAGAGUGCGGUUGAGUGGCGAACGGGUGAGUAACAUGUGGUAAAUCUGCCUAUAAGAGGGGGAUAAUAUUCGGAAACGGUGGCUUAUACCGCAUAUAUUCUUGGACCGCCUGGUGCUUGAAAGAAAGUCGGCUUUUCUGUCGCUUAUAGCUGAUCCCGCGGCGUAUUAGUUAGUUGGUGGGGUAAAGGCCUACCAAGACAAUGAGACGUAGACGACCUGAGAGGGAGAUCGGCCACACUGGCACUGAGACACGGCCCAGACUCCUACGGGAGGCAGCAGUAGGGAAUCUUCCACAAUGGGCGAAAGCCUGAUGGAGCAAUGCCGCGGAAAUGAAGAAGGUCUUCGGCUCGUAAAGUUCUGUUAUUAGAGAAGAACAAGUCAAGGAGUAACUGUCUUGACUUUGACGGUACCGGGCCAAAAAGUCACGGCUAACUACGUG
rnacentral:rRNA from 1 species